UUAUGCUGUCAAAGAAAAGAGCUCUGAACAAGCCUGAUCCUGACUGAUCUCGGAAGCUAAGCAGGGUCGGGCCUGGUUAGUGCUUGGAUGAGAGACCACCUAGAAAGACUAAGUGCUGUAGGUA
rnacentral:rRNA from 1 species